UCCUCUUCUUGCCCCUCAUUACUUGGCCUCCCAUAACUAGGCCUCCUCGGUGGCUCCUCCACCUCCGGACUCUCGUAGCUCGGCCUCCCAUACUGUGGCUUCCUGGGGGACCCUUCCCCACCAUAACCAUACCCGCCACCUUGUUCCUCUCCGAAGCUAGGUUUCCGACCGUACCCAGAUCCAUAUUCAGAACUCGGUGCUUCGUACUCAGGCCUCCGACCAUACCCAGAUCCAUACUCCGAACUGGGCUGCUCGAACUCGGGCCUCCGACCAUACCCAGAUCCAUACUCCGAACUAGGUUGCUCGUAUUCAGGCUUCCGACCGUACCCAGAUCCAUAUUCCGUGCUAGGCUGUUCGUAUUCAGGCUUCCGACCGUACCCAGAUCCAUAUUCCGAGCUAGGCUGUUCGUAUUCAGGCUUCCGACCGUACCCAGAUCCAUAUUCCGAGCUAGGCUGUUCGUAUUCAGGCUUCCGACCGUAGCCAGAUCCAUAUUCCGAGCUAGGCUGUUCGCAUUCAGGCUUCCGACCGUACCCGGAUCCGUACUCCGAACUGGGUUCCUCGUAAUCAGGCUUCCGCCCAUGCCCAGAUCCAUACUCACCCUCCCCACCAAAACUCGACGGCGGCUUCGGCUGAUACCCAUACUCACCACCAUCACCACUGCCUCCGAACCCUCCUUGGCCAGGAGGUGGUCCGGCGUAACCAAGGACCGGACGAGGCUUGGGACGAGCAUAGCUCUUGUAUUCAUUCUCAAGAGCUUCAUCACCGUAAGCCGAUGGUUCAG
rnacentral:lncRNA from 1 species